GACGUAGGGCGCGAGCGUUGUCCGGAUUUAUUGGGCGUAAAGAGCUCGUAGGCGGUUUGUCGCGUCGUUCGUGAAAACUCACAGCUUAACUGUGAGCUUGCGGUCGAUACGGGCAGGCUAGAGUUCGGUAGGGGAGACUGGAAUUCCUGGUGUAGCGGUGAAAUGCGCAGAGUAUCGAGGAGGAACACCGGUGGCGAAGGCGGGUCUCUGGGCCGCAUACUGACGCUGAGGAGCGAAGCGUGGGAGCGAACGG
rnacentral:rRNA from 1 species